rnacentral:lncRNA from 10 species
GCCAGGCAAAGUUCUAAGUGUUUUAUGUGCAUUGUCUCAUUAAUCCUCACAGCACCCUAUGUAAGUGUUGUUAUCUCCAUUUUACAGAUGAGGACACUGAUGGAACUGAGAGAUUAGGGUCCCAUAGCUUGCAAAUGGCAGAACUGCGAGUCAGAUACUCAAGCAUUCUGGCUCUGGAAUCUGUCCACUUAACAGUAUGCUGUCUUGCCUCUCAUUGUUACUGCGUUCUCAAACUUUGAAGAGAACAAAAAAGACAAUAUAGUCUAUAUUCUUUUCAUUAUGAAGAAGGGCAUGAAGAAGAAAGGUAGAACAGGCUGAAUUGGAUAAUUAUAUUUAAUUGGAUAUUUAAUUAUAUAUAUAUAUAAAGAAUUUACAUGUGUAACUCCAAAUGAACAUUAUUAUCUCAACUUUACAUAUCAGAAAACUUUAGUUCAAAUAGGUUGCCAUUUUUGUAGAGUUUCAAAGCUAUUUUUAAAAAGGCUUAAAUUGAUCAGAACUAUAAUAAGAAACCAGUGAAGCAAACUAUUUAGAAUGUUGCUAGGAAGUUAGGUGUUAAUUUAUAUCUCUGACACUUUGGGUAAAGAAUAGCAAGACCCAGAAUCAGGGCUAUGGUGAUAAGGUUAUAGAAGAGAAACCAAUGAAAAAUUUUUAAUGUUUUUGCAGUCAGAGUAAUGGUCCAUACGAAAAAGAUUUUAGAGAAAAUGUGAAGAUAAAAUUGGCAGAUUUGGCAUAAAUGAGAGAUAUUUCAUAUAAGGUCAAAGAUGGAUUCUUCAAAUAUUUAAUGAGUCUAUAUUUGUAAAAUGGUAAAAGUUAUAAUAAAGUCUUGAUAAUAUGAAAUUAAAAUGAAUAUUUCAAAGUAUUGACUUGAAAUAACUGCA